UCAUUUUGAUACUCAUACAGCCUAUGCUCGGAUAUUCGAGUACCCGUUGACAUUCCUAGUAAAUGAGGAUUAUAUAAUAUUCGUUUUGGGUGUUUGAGCUUUUGGUUUUGCUAUUUGAUAAAGGACUAUCGGUUUUGAAUUUUCCUCGGAGUUCAGUAUUUUUGUGAUGCUACUUUUUAAGUGAUUGAAAUCAGGAGAAAACAUUCCGAAGGACAUGAUUUGUAUAAAGAUAGAUAAUACUGUAAGAUAAUGUUAUGUUGUGGUUUUCAUUAACUGUGUUAUUUAUCAUGCAUUCAGUUUAGAGAUCUUUUUUUAUUACUAAUGAUGAUUUUAAUUGUACAACUUGUAAAGUUUCUUUUUAUUAUUACAAGGGCUGAUACGUGUUAUACUAAGGGAUGGUAGAAUUAUGUCUAACACAAAUUUUUAAUCAAACUUCACCAUACGUCUACGUGUCAGUCAUGAUUUUCCUGUCUUUUUCUUUUCAUUUAAAGAUGAAAUUCAUGACACAUAUUUCUAUUUUUCUAUCACUAACCAUGGUUAUGUAAAACUAGCUAUAAGGAACGUCUUAUCCUUUUUCUAAGCAAACAGUUCAUUGGUAGAUAACAAGACCUCGUUGAUAAAUAUUAACACAGUGGUUUCGUAGAACAGAUUUUAGGUACUGAUUUGUUUAUCAUCUCAUUACAUGGUAUAGUGUUCUUUUAUUUGUCUUUGUUAAUUAUUACUUCUACUGUUCAGUCUACAUUUUUAGUUAUAACCUUUUCCACGUGUCUCGGUAUUUAUACAUCCCGUCUUUGUUUUAUGUGGUAUGGUAAAUGUUUGUAUUUUUGUCUUUCGUUUUUUAUAUUGUGCUUUGUCUAUACAGAAUUUACUUUUUCAUUGUUGCCAUAUUAGUUGUUUUUUUAUAAUGAUUAAGAUUUUAACACAAUGUUGACUGCUGUAACCUUAUUUUUGAGAUUUUUACCAAUUAUUGCUGUUUGUUAUGUUCACACAUUAAUUUCAAAAUAAUGAAACUGUAUUCGCCUGGCAUAAAAGUGAGGUUCAACUACUUAUCAAACAAGUCAAAUACGCAAUAUUCUAUAUCAGAAAAUGCUUUUACCAAGGCAGGAAUAUGAAACUUAUUAUCCAUGCGAUUGCUGUGUUUGAGCUUUUUAUUUUGCCAUUUAAAUAUGGACUCUGUUUUAAUUUUUUGAGUUCGGUAUUAUUGUUACUUGACUUUUUGGACAGUCAAUCAAUUUCAAUUUAAUUUUUUCAACUUAGAUUUAUUUUAAAUGUUUUAUUCUUUUUAUCCUUAUUGCAGUCACCCUGGUUUGUGAUAAUAACUUAUAACACAUGAUCCGAUUUUUGUAAGUGUUAUUUCAGUGCUUCACUACUUAACCGGACUAUUGACACUCUCAAAAGACGUUUUGAUGUAGUUAUGUGCAAUAAAUAAUAGUGCGUAUGGACAUUAUACACAUUUGUUUAAGUGUACAUCUCAAAUAUAAGAAUUUGAUCUAGGGAGAACAAUUCAAACUGUUAGAUAGUCAAAUCUUUAAAAAAUUACCUCAAAGGGUUUUACGGACACCAUGUAUAUCAUAAAAAAAGUAAUAAUGAUUCUCCUUCUAAAUCAGAAUAUGUUUUAAGAUCACGUUAACAGAAACAAAUGUCUCAUAAAUGUUUGUUGUACUGAAAAUUAGGAGAUAUGACGGGAUAAUUGGUAGUACGUCUUAGUGUUACGUUUGAAAGAUCUGAAGUUCUCGUUGAACAUUUUAAUGACACUUAAAUAUAGCCAAUGUAAUAAGUAAAUGCGGAUCAAAUGAAGAGCAAUUCAGAUGGAUAAAGUUAGUAUAAAACUAGAUAAAUUAUGUUUGUAAUAAAACAUUUUGUUGUAUUUUGUUCAACGAUUCUAUUUUACCAGUAUUUCAGAGCUAUAUAUAUGUUUCUAAUAAGGUUUUUUAUUGUUUAUUCUUGAAAAAUUCAUUUUCUUUUAUUUAAGUGAUCAAAUAUACAAGCAUUUAAAUGGUUGAGAUAUGUCGAAACACAUGUUUAAUAACAUUAAACAAUAUUGUUUGGUACAUGUCCUGUUCCAAAAACACCGUCAUUAUGUGCGUGUAGUUGUGUAUAUAGACAUGUAUGUCUGUUAGUAAGCUUUCAAUAGUCACUGAUCAAUCAAUUAGUGCUUACACACAGAAAGUUAUUAAACUUGUCUACGGUAUAAUCAUCUGUCUUUUGUGACUACCAUACGAGCAGUAACUUAAAUUAAGACAUUCAAUGUUAUUUUUUUCUAAUAUUAUUUAAAUUCUAACAUUUUCCUGAUUGCAAUAAGUGACGACGUGUAAUGAUAUUGUAUUUGUAAAAGGUUCAUACGGCCUUGCACAUGUACAUCACAUGUACAUAUAAUCCUAUUUUGAUAACAAAAAUUAUAAGGGUUUUCGUCACAAAGCAGAGAUUUUUGUUUGUGCAAAACAUGUAUAUUUGUCAAUAAAAUGUCUGUAGACUUUCUUGUUAACUUUAUAAAUAAUCAUACGAC
rnacentral:lncRNA from 1 species